GGAUUUGUUUGGGCCUGUUUAGGAGAUCUAAACCUAAUCUAAUUAGGUUUAAGCCCUUUAAAAGGGCCUGAUAGUGUGAACAGAUCUGUGUGGUGGCUUGGUUUUUCUCAUAGAAAAUCAUGAGGCCUGUGGACGUGCAGCGCAGAAGAUCAAAACUCGAGAGAAGAGAGAGAACCGUACGUUGGGAGAGAAGGAGCAGGGCU
rnacentral:lncRNA from 1 species